GACGAACGCUGGUGGCGUGCCUAAUACAUGCAAGUAGAACGCUGAAGAGAGGAGCUUGCUCUUCUUGGAUGAGUUGCGAACGGGUGAGUAACGCGUAGGUAACCUGCCUGGUAGCGGGGGAUAACUAUUGGAAACGAUAGCUAAUACCGCAUAAAAUGGAUUAUCGCAUGAUAAUCCAUUGAAAGGUGCAAAUGCAUCACUACCAGAUGGACCUGCGUUGUAUUAGCUAGUUGGUGGGGUAACGGCUCACCAAGGCGACGAUACAUAGCCGACCUGAGAGGGUGCUCGGCCACAGUGGGAGUGAGGCACCGCCCAGGAGCGUACGGGAGGCAGCAGUAGGGGAACAGAGGCAAUGGACGGAAGUCUGACCGAGCGAAGCCGCGGGAGUGAAGAAGGUUGUCGGAUCGUAAAGCUCUGAUGUAAGAGAAGAACGAGUGUGAGAGUGGAAAGUUCACACUGUGACGGUAUCUAACCAGAAAGGGCCGGCUAACUAC
rnacentral:rRNA from 1 species